UACGUAGGGUGCAAGCGUUAAUCGGAAUUACUGGGCAUAAAGCGUGCGCAGGCGGUGAUGUAAGACAGAUGUGAAAUCCCCGGGCUCAACCUGGGAACUGCAUUUGUGACUGCAUCGCUGGAGUGCGGCAGAGGGGGAUGGAAUUCCGCGUGUAGCAGUGAAAUGCGUAGAUAUGCGGAGGAACACCGAUGGCGAAGGCAAUCCCCUGGGCCUGCACUGACGCUCAUGCACGAAAGCGUGGGGAGCAAACAGG
rnacentral:rRNA from 1 species